rnacentral:lncRNA from 1 species
CCCACUUAACACUUUUUCUCACUUUUUCUUUUCCCUCUCAACUCUCUCUCUCUCUCUCUCUCCCCAUCAUCACUCUGCGACCACCACCACUUUCUGUCUCAGCCCUCUCUCGCGAAACCCAUCUCAUUCUCUCAUCUUUGUAUUCUGAAUCGUGAAACCCACCAUCGACCCCAUUUUCUAGCUCUCUCUUUCGAAUCGCCUAAAGUCGCAAUUGCUUUCAACCUCGAAGCUCAACUUCAUCGCCGACCUCCAAUAGGUUGUCUUCUUUUAUUCUUUGGUACUUUUCUAAAUAUGUGUGGGUUUCUAUAAAAUGGGUUUGUUUUGAUCGCUUUGGUUUCAUUCUUUUAGUUUUUAUGGUCAUUUUCUUCAUCUUUGUGGGUUUCUCACAGAAUUUGAUGUUGUUAUUGCUCUGGGUUAUCUAAUUUCAUAAUUUUAUAGUGUUAAUGGUUUCUAUGAAUCUUGAAACUAGGUUGUUCAAUCUAAUGUAAAAGUUUCUG